CCUACGGGAGGCAGCAGUCGAGAAUCAUUCACAAUGGGGGAAACCCUGAUGGUGCGACGCCGCGUGGGGGAAUGAAGGUCUUCGGAUUGUAAACCCCUGUCAUGUGGGAGCAAAUUAAAAAGAUAGUACCACAAGAGGAAGAGACGGCUAACUCUGUGCCAGCAGCCGCGGGAAUACAGAGGUCUCAAGCGUUGUUCGGAAUCACUGGGCGUAAAGCGUGCGUAGGCUGUUUCGUAAGUCGUGUGUGAAAGGCGCGGGCUCAACCCGCGGACGGCACAUGAUACUGCGAGACUAGAGUAAUGGAGGGGGAACCGGAAUUCUCGGUGUAGCAGUGAAAUGCGUAGAUAUCGAGAGGAACACUCGUGGCGAAGGCGGGUUCCUGGACAUUAACUGACGCUGAGGCACGAAGGCCAGGGGAGCGAAAGGGAUUAGAUACCCGUGUAGUC
rnacentral:rRNA from 1 species